rnacentral:rRNA from 1 species
UCACCAAAUUACACAUUUACAUUGUGUUUAUAUAAAAAAAUAGAAAUUAAUUUAUUUUUAUCACAAUUUUGAAAUGUUUUGUGGUAAAAUUCUUAACAUUGAUAUUGUAUGGAUAUUUGUAUCCACGCAGUAUCUUUUUCUAAUUAUAUUUAAUGAUAAAUAAAAAUUUAUAAAAUGGUUUAACUAGUUGAUGAGGUAAUAGCUUACCAAGGCGAUGAUUAGUAAUUGGUAUGAGAGAAUGAUCAACCACACUGGGAUUGAGACACGACCCAGACUUGUAUAGGAGGCAAUAGUAGGGAAUUUUCCGCAAUGGGCGAAAGCCUAACGGAGUAAUGCCACGUGAAGGUAGAAGGCAUAUGGGUCAUGAACUUCUUUUCCUAUAGAAGAAGCAAUGAUGAUAUUCAGGGAAUAAGCAUUGACUAACUUUGUGCCAACAAUCGCGGUAAGACAGAAGAUGCAAGCGUUAUCCGGAAUGAUUGGACAUAAAGUGUUAGUUGGUGGCUUUUUAAGUUGGUUGUCAAAUCCCAAGGCUCAACCAUAGACACGCUGUGGAAACUACCAAGUUGGAGUACGGUAGGGGCAAAUGGAAUUUCUGGUGGAGCGGAGAAAUGCGUAGAGAUCGGACAAAACACCAACGACGAAAGCACUAUGUUGGAUUGGCAUUAACACUAAGAGAUGAAAUCUAAGGGAUUAAAUGAGAUUAGAUACCCCAGUAGUCCUAGCCGUAAAUGAGGGAUACUAGGUGUUGUGCAUAGACUCGUGUAAUGUUGUAGCUAAAACAUUAAGUAUCUCGCUUGGGAGUAUGUUCACAAGAAUGAAACUUAGAAGAAUUGGUGGGGGCCCGCAUAAGUGGUAGAGUAUGUGGUUUUAUUCAAUGCAAAGCGAAGAACAUUAUCAAAACUUGAUAUGCCACAAAUCCUCUUGAAAGAGAGGGGUGCCUUCGGGAACGCGGACACAGGAUGUGCAUGACUGUGUCAGCUUAUGUCGUAAGGUGUUGGGUUAAGUCCCGCAACGAGCGCAACCCUCGUGUUUAGUUGCCAAGAUUAAGUUUGGAACCCUAAGCAAACUUUUAGUGAUAAAUCGUUGGAAGGUGAGGAUGACGUCAAGUCAUUAUCCCUUUAUGCCCUAGGCAACACAUGUGCUACAAUGGACAUAACAAAGGAUCGCAAUCCCGCAAGGGUGAGCUAACUCCAAAAACUCGUCCUUGGUUUGGAUUGUGGGCUGCAACUCGUCUGUGUGAAACCAAAAUUUCGGUAUCUUUCUUAACCUAAUUUCGAAAUUCGGUAAUUGGAUUUCGAAAUUCGAUAAUUUCCUUAAUCGAAUCUCAAAUUUUAGUAAUUUCC